UCCAUUUUAUUAAGUUAGUUUGAUUUAAACAAAGAUUAUUUUUGAGCUCUAAUUUGGUCCAUGAAUUGGUCCAUAACUUUAACCUAAUUCUUUAUUGUAUAUAUACUAACUGAACCCUAUUUUGAAAAGGAGGGAGCACACUGUAAAUAUUACACGGUUUCAAUUCCACCAUUUUUUGUCGCUCACGCAAAAAUCAUUCAAUCACCAAAACUCAUGAGGCAUAACCACUCCCAAUUGUCACCAUCAAAGCCAAACCUUCAAAACACUAAACUACUUUCCCAUCACAAUAUUAUCAUAAAUUCAAAACCAAACUUCACUCAUAAGUCCUUCAGCACCGAUCCAAGAAUAACACAGCAUGUUCAUACAACAAUCAACACAACAACAAAAAUCUGACGAAAUUGUGUUCUUUUUAAGUUUGUUUUGUUUUCAGGAAAAAUACAAAAGGAUGAGAACCGUUUCACGAAACCAAAUCCGCAACGUUGAUGCUCGAAGCUUCAUUCACGCUGUCAAUCGCUGCCGCUCCAUUCGACAAUUGACGGAAAAGAUUAGGAACAAAGAAGAAGAGCAACCACGGCACCACGCUCCGAUCAUAGAUCCCAACCGACGACCGAUACACCACCACCUAGCCACCACGUUGAAAUUUCAGAACGGCAAUACCAACCGCCGGACGAAACCGCACGGUUGACGACAACAGCACAACAAGACGGUUCUAACAACACCGACAUCCCGACCAAUAGCUCACGAUGUCUUCUCCACCAUUGCGCAUCCUACUUCUGUUGUGCCAUCUCCGCUCUGUUCACAAUCACCGCCAUCAUUACAAGUAAAUACUCAUUCCGAUGAUUGACUGUGUUGCUAUGUCUAUUUUGUUCAAGUGUUAUUUAGGGGCAGAGCUGAGUUUUUCUUAAGAGAAAGUGUCUUUAGAGAAAGAUGAAACUGUGUACUGGCGUUUUAUUUUUCUUUUUCUAUUUUGUCAAAGUAAUAGAUUUUGCUCUAUUUUACUAUAAAAAAGGUAAAACUGUCAAAAGAGUGUUGUGUGAUGUGAAGAAGUGUAGGCCUCGUUCCUGUUCAUUCUACUUUGAAUUUUCUUUUCUCAUUCACUUUUGCUAAAAUAUUAACAUAGUUUCUAGGUUCUAUUGUUAUAUAAUAUAAUGCUUUGCUAUUUAAAUUUCUCAAUGGUGUGACGUUCUUGUUAUAUAUAAUUAGUUUACAUAAUUUUUUUUGACUUAUACAUAAAUCAUAAUAACAAAAAUAUUAUAAUUUAGAUUUUCUUUCUUUAAUAUAAAAAACACCAAAAAUAUUUGUUUUAAUCUUAAUAUUUCCUUUUUUAGAUUUUAAUAUGGCUAUUUUUUUUAAGAUUUUUUCUUUAAUCAAUUCUCAUUUUAUUUCUCGGUACUCCCAUUUUCUUGUUUAUUGCGAGGUACAUUCGAGCUGCUUAUCUAUUCUCGUGGAUAUUCGCAAAUUCAUCCUCAAUCUUCUCCACUGGAUCUCGCCAAUUCCAUCUAAAGGACCAGAAUGUGCUACGAAGCUAAGUCCCGAUUUAACCCUUAUUUAAAUAUUUGUUAUUUUAUUUAAAAUUAAGGUUUAUCUUUAAAUAUAAUGAACUCCGCCUACACUCAAUUCUUGUUUGCCUUUGCUCUGCCAAUUUUUUCAGGGUUAACCCCGAGUACUCCCGACUACGAACCAUAUCAGAUCAAAUCCAAAGCUAAGUUUUGUUCAUAUUUAUUUAAUUUCUUUUUGCCAUUUUUUUAAAAAUUAGGGUUAACCUUAUUUGUCAUUGAACUGAUAAUGCACUCGCCCCUAUUUUCUGUUUAUUUCUCCCUUUCCCACCUUUUCAGGGUUUGCCAACCGCCAAAGCUCAAAUAGUCGGUAACCCUAAACUCUAAUCUCUCUUAUUUUUCUGCCUUAAUUAUUACUUAUGCCAAACCCUAUUGCACCAUGAACCCGCUGGCUUCAUUCUCCCUUUCCCCCGCUGGUUUCUUUUUCCCCUUCCCCAUAUUGCUUUAAUUAUAUUGUUUAUAUUUUUGCAUGGUUAGUAAUCUUAGGGAGUGCAAGCUGUAAUUAAUAUAGAAUCACCUAAUUACAAGAUAAAUAAUUGAAUUUAAUCACGUGAUUGUUGCACCCACGCACACUUUUUGGUAACCCUUUUUGUUGCCUAUUGCCUUAUUGCCUUGUUUUUUUGCAGAAUAGCCAUGUCCCUUGAAUACGAGGAUACCUCAGCCAUGUUGCCUCGACUAAUGCAAAGAUCAUAAGUCCCUAAUGAUGCUGCCUUCGAUACACAAAUAUGAUCUCGUCCCUCGGAAGUUGCCUACGAAAGAGAAUAGUGAAAAAGCAAAGGGGGAAGAUACGACGCAUCAGCCCCACAUCCGAUGAACUCAGCCGCAAACAACCGAAGAGUGGGAAGAGAUUCAAAGUCGAAUCGGCAUCGGAUCCGGUCAGUCACAACGCGAUCUCGACGUCGCCGCAAAAUCAUCAACGACGCAGCCGCUAACCGCUUUGAAGACUAUCGCGUGAAACAUUCCUCGCCGAUGCGGAAGCACAUCGUCGAACCAUGCUCUCCACUAGCUCCAAACGGUGCCGAAGAACACCGCUCAGAUCUGCCAAAGCCCCUCGAACCACCACUCCACUUUCAAAUUCGCUUCCCGACGCCGUUGUGUCCGGUAACCUUUUCUUUUAUGGAUUAAUCUGCAUCUGUUUUGAAUUGUUUCAUUGUUUGUGUGUGAAAUUAAAACAAUAUAAACAUUGUUGUUGUUGUCUUUUGAAA